UACGUAGGGUGCAAGCGUUGUCCGGAAUUAUUGGGCGUAAAGCGCUCGUAGGCGGUCUGUCGCGUCGGCUGUGAAAACCCGGAGCUCAACUCCGGGCCUGCAGUCGAUACGGGCAGACUGGAGUUCGGCAGGGGAGACUGGAAUUCCUGGUGUAGCGGUGAAAUGCGCAGAUAUCAGGAGGAACACCGGUGGCGAAGGCGGGUCUCUGGGCCGAUACUGACGCUGAGGAGCGAAGGCGUGGGGAGCGAACAGG
rnacentral:rRNA from 1 species